GACGAACCGAGCGAACGUUAUUCGGAAUCACUGGGCUUAAAGGGCGCGUAGGCGGGUCAGCAAGUCAGGGGUGAAAUCCAACGGCUCAACCGUGGAAGUGCCUUUGAUACUGUUGAUCUCGAGGGAGGUAGGGGCGUGCGGAACUUCCGGUGGAGCGGUGAAAUGCGUAGAUAUCGGAAGGAACACCGGUGGCGAAAGCGGCGCGCUGGACCUCUUCUGACGCUGAGGCGCGAAAGCCAGGGGAGCAAACGGG
rnacentral:rRNA from 1 species